GGGACACGUGGUAUCCUGUCUGAAUAUGGGGGGACCAUCCUCCAAGGCUAAAUACUCCUGACUGACCGAUAGUGAACCAGUACCGUGAGGGAAAGGCGAAAAGAACCCCGGCGAGGGGAGUGAAAAAGAACCUGAAACCGUGUACGUACAAGCAGUGGGAGCCUCUUAAUGGGGUGACUGCGUACCUUUUGUAUAAUGGGUCAGCGACUUAUAUUCUGUAGCAAGGUUAACCGAAUAGGGGAGCCGAAGGGAAACCGAGUCUUAACUGGGCGUUAAGUUGCAGGGUAUAGACCCGAAACCCGGUGAUCUAGCCAUGGGCAGGUUGAAGGUUGGGUAACACUAACUGGAGGACCGAACCGACUAAUGUUGAAAAAUUAGCGGAUGACUUGUGGCUGGGGGUGAAAGGCCAAUCAAACCGGGAGAUAGCUGGUUCUCCCCGAAAGCUAUUUAGGUAGCGCCUCGUGAAUUCAUCUCCGGGGGUAGAGCACUGUUUCGGCAAGGGGGUCAUCCCGACUUACCAACCCGAUGCAAACUGCGAAUACCGGAGAAUGUUAUCACGGGAGACACACGGCGGGUGCUAACGUCCGUCGUGAAGAGGGAAACAACCCAGACCGCCAGCUAAGGUCCCAAAGUCAUGGUUAAGUGGGAAACGAUGUGGGAAGGCCCAGACAGCCAGGAUGUUGGCUUAGAAGCAGCCAUCAUUUAAAGAAAGCGUAAUAGCUCACUGGUCGAGUCGGCCUGCGCGGAAGAUGUAACGGGGCUAAACCAUGCACCGAAGCUGCGGCAGCGACACUAUGUGUUGUUGGGUAGGGGAGCGUUCUGUAAGCCUGUGAAGGUGUACUGUGAGGUAUGCUGGAGGUAUCAGAAGUGCGAAUGCUGACAUAAGUAACGAUAAAGCGGGUGAAAAGCCCGCUCGCCGGAAGACCAAGGGUUCCUGUCCAACGUUAAUCGGGGCAGGGUGAGUCGACCCCUAAGGCGAGGCCGAAAGGCGUAGUCGAUGGGAAACAGGUUAAUAUUCCUGUACUUGGUGUUACUGCGAAGGGGGGACGGAGAAGGCUAUGUUGGCCGGGCGACGGUUGUCCCGGUUUAAGCGUGUAGGCUGGU
rnacentral:rRNA from 1 species